rnacentral:rRNA from 1 species
GAUGAACGCUGGCGGCGUGCCUAAUACAUGCAAGUCGAGCGAACAGAUAAGGAGCUUGCUCCUUUGACGUUAGCGGCGGACGGGUGAGUAACGCGUGGGUAACCUACCUAUAAGACUGGGAUAACUUCGGGAAACCGGAGCUAAUACCGGAUAACAUUUGGAACCGCAUGGUUCUAAAGUGAAAGAUGGUUUUGCUAUCACUUAUAGAUGGACCCGCGCCGUAUUAGCUAGUUGGUAAGGUAACGGCUUACCAAGGCGACGAUACGUAGCCGACCUGAGAGGGUGAUCGGCCACACUGGAACUGAGACACGGUCCAGACUCCUACGGGAGGCAGCAGUAGGGAAUCUUCCGCAAUGGGCGAAAGCCUGACGGAGCAACGCCGCGUGAGUGAUGAAGGGUUUCGGCUCGUAAAACUCUGUUAUUAGGGAAGAACAAACGUGUAAGUAACUGUGCACGUCUUGACGGUACCUAAUCAGAAAGCCACGGCUAACUACGUG